GAUGAACGCUGGCGGCGGGCUUAACACAUGCAAGUCGAACGGAAGGACGGUGCUUUUGUCGGGUGUUCGAGUGGCGAAGGGGUGAGUAGCCCGUGAAUAUGCCUCCCUUGAGGUGGGGAUAACUUGAGAAAGCCGGGGAUAACCCCGAAUAGCUGCUGGUGCUGCUUGGUGGGGGUUGGAACGUACCGUCGGAUGGGGAUCGACGUCGGGUGGAUCAGCUAGUUGGGGGGGUAACGGCCUACCCAGGCGUUGAUCGGUAGCCGGACUGAGAGGAUGAUCAGUCACACUGGAACUGGGACACGGUCCAGACUCCUACGGGAGGCAGCAGUGGGGAAUAUUAGACAAUGGGCGAAAGCCUGAUCCAGCCAUGCCGCGUGUGUGAAGAAGGUCUUCGGAUUGUAAAGCACUUUAAGUUGGGAGGAAGGGCAGUAAGUUAAUACCUUGCUGUUUUGACGUUACCAACAGAAUAAGCACCGGCUAACUUCGUG
rnacentral:rRNA from 1 species